GAUGAAGAACGCAGCGAAAUGCGAUAAGUAAUGCGAAUUGCAGAAUUCAGUGAGUCAUCGAAUCUUUGAACGCACAUUGCGCCCUGUGGUAUUCCGCAGGGCAUGCCUGUUCGAGCGUCAUUUCAACCCUCAAGCUCUGCUUGGUGUUGGGCCCUGCCCGCUGCGGCCGGCCCUAAAGACAGUGGCGGUGCCGCCUGGCCCUGAGCGUAGUACAUCUCUCGCUCCAGUGCCCGGUGGUAGCCUGCCAGAACCCCAAAUCUCGUGGUUGACCUCGGAUCAGGUAGGGAUACCCGCUGAACGUAAGCAUAUCAAUAAGCGGAGGA
rnacentral:misc_RNA from 1 species